rnacentral:lncRNA from 1 species
CCGUCAUCACCGCCAGCCAGCAACAGUACACUCUUGAUAGUGUUGUUUCCGUUCUCACCGACGCUGAUACUCGCCUUAGAGAUCCCAUUCGAUUCCCUAUCUCCAUCAACACAACUCAGUAUCACCCUUUUUCUUCCCCAAACCCUAUCACCCACACCGACCCAGCUAUCUCAGCCUCACUUUUCAAUUCCCAAGCUCAAAUCUACCCUCAAUCCACUACAGCCCAUAUUACAUCACCCGUCUCCUCACACUCAGCCCAUUAUUCACCGAACCCAACCUUUCCCAAUCAACAAUCCUAUCCCUCGACUACUUUCUCCCCGGCUCCUCCUCGCC